UACAGAGGGGGCAAGCGUUGUUCGGAAUUACUGGGCGUAAAGGGUUCGUAGGCGGUGCGGUAUGUCGGGAGUGAAAUCUCUGGGCUUAACUCAGAGGCUGCUUCCGAAACUGCCGUGCUCGAGUGCGGGAGAGGCGAGUGGAAUUACAGGUGUAGCGGUGAAAUGCGUAGAUAUCUGUAGGAACACCCGUGGCGAAGGCGGCUCGCUGGACCGCAACUGACGCUGAGGAACGAAAGCUAGGGGAGCAAACAGG
rnacentral:rRNA from 1 species